GCCCCGCUGCGCUCUGGCGGCGCUGCCCCGGCCGGCCUCCGGGACUAGACCCUGAUUUAUGCGUGUUGGCAGCUGGAGCUCAGCUUGUCCAGGCCCUGCUCACAGCUGACCUGGGAACCAGCGCCAGGCAAAGCUCCAGACUGUGAUCCCUGGGAGGAAAACAACACCAGAAACUCACUUCCUCCCCAUGCGUGGAACUGGAGUGUGACCACAGAGCGAGAGAAUGCUUGGAAUUUUGGCUGCUGUUAGAAGAGGAAUGAAGUAAACCAAAUAUUUUUGUAAUAAAAAUUUAAUAUCCUUU